rnacentral:rRNA from 1 species
GAUGAACGCUGGCGGCGUGCCUAAUACAUGCAAGUCGAGCGAACAGACGAGGAGCUUGCUCCUCUGACGUUAGCGGCGGACGGGUGAGUAACACGUGGAUCACCUACCUAUAAGACUGGGAUAACUUCGGGAAACCGGAGCUAAUACCGGAUAAUAUAUUGAACCGCAUGGUUCAAUAGUGAAAGACGGUUUUGCUGUCACUUAUAGAUGGAUCCGCGCCGCAUUAGCUAGUUGGUAAGGUAACGGCUUACCAAGGCAACGAUGCGUAGCCGACCUGAGAGGGUGAUCGGCCACACUGGAACUGAGACACGGUCCAGACUCCUACGGGAGGCAGCAGUAGGGAAUCUUCCGCAAUGGGCGAAAGCUUGACGGAGCAACGCCGCGUGAGUGAUGAAGGUCUUCGGAUCGUAAAACUCUGUUAGUAGGGAAGAACAAAUGUGUAAGUAACUAUGCACGUCUUGACGGUACCUAAUCAGAAAGCCACGGCUAACUACGUG